CGAGUGUCUCUGAGUGCCAUCAGGUUUACUUUGAAAAAAUUAGAGUGCUUCAAGCAGGCUCUUAUGCCAGAAUAUUUGUGCAUGGAAUCAUAGAAUAGGAUGUUGAUCUUAUUUUGUUGGUUUUCGAGACUUGACAUAAUGAUUAAUAGGGACAGUCGGGGGCAUUUGUAUUCAAACGACAGAGGUGAAAUUCUUGGACCGUUUGAAGACAAACUACUGCGAAAGCAUUUGCCAAGAAUGUUUUCAUUAAUCAAGAACGAAAGUUAGAGGUUCGAAGGCGAUUAGAUACCGCCCUAGUUCUAACCAUAAACGAUGCCAGCUAGCGAUCUGCUGACGUUUUUACUGUAGACUCAGCAGGAAGCUUCCGGGAAACCAAAGCAUUUGGGUUCCAGGGGAAGUAUGGUUGCAAAGCUGAAACUUAAAGGAAUUGACGGAAGGGCACCACCAGGAGU
rnacentral:rRNA from 1 species